rnacentral:lncRNA from 1 species
AACCUGUCAUCUCCAUGGCGCUGUCUCUGCCAAGCCCUUCCCUUUCUGGCCCACGAGCCCUCUGUCUGGCCGCCAGCCUGGGCUUUCUCCAGCUGAUUUGUAGAUAAAAUCUCUGACAGUGGAUCUUUUACCCAAGAAUUGCUUAAGAUGUUCUUCAGAUCCUCAAUUUCAGCAGAAUGGCUGACACCAACUGGCAUGGGUGAGCCCAGAGAGAGGCUGGGAAUUAAAAAAAAGUUUACUUAGAGAACAAGCAGUUGCCAGUGAAACGUUGGUGCACUGUAGACUUCAGACAUAAAAACAGCAGCCAUCACUGACUUCUGGCAAAUUCAAGUAAAACAACAAACAUCGAAACUUCCAGACAUUCUGUUGGGGGAAGUUGCCAAAGACGUUGGCUGCCAUAGUCAGCUUUACCAUCUUCGAUAAGAAAAUACUCCUCUUCACCAUAUACAAGAAUUUAUUAAGUACCUGCUUUGCCUACACCAUUUUGCACUUAGUAUGUUUUCGUUACAUAUUUGAUAGGAAUGAGAGAAAGGGCACAGGUGGGCCCCUCAGAACAGAGCAUUUAAUUGAGUACAUUCGGAGCAUAUUUUGAGUAUGAACCUCCCUAACAACACACCUUUUAACAGUGAUUCAGGGGAAAGAUUCAGCUUUUGUGGGGUCUGAAGUUUGUACAGUUUCAAGAGCCCUUUUAAGAGGAAAAAAAUACAAAAUCACAAAAGAAAAGAAUGCCUGUGACCACUUUGAUAACAUCUGGCAGAGGAGGAAUGUGAUAGAAGGGAAAACCAAGUGGAAAAAUAUGAUGGUCUCAGCUGAUUGUAGUGACUAGAUCUUACUUUUGCAAAAUGUACAAAAUUCUGUGAAAGCUUAUGUCCAAGUGGACCCAUUACUACGCUCCAUCACAGGAGCCUGUCCAACUGAAGGAGCCUGAAGUUUAUGCGUCAUUAGCUUCAGUGAGUCUUGCCUACAGCUAUCAUGGACUGGAACUAACCACUGGAGCAAAAGGGAAACUGCAGAAGUAUCUCCAGGUAGCUAAACUGCAGAGUCCAUGAGGGAGGACAACAGUGUGUGGUAGGGCACAGUCAGGACAGCGACACAUGUGGAGCACUGAUAGACGGGGCCCCCAUGCCCACUGGCCAAGACCAAGACUGGGCAGGACACCUAAUGAGGGUGGAAUCACAUACAGUGAAUGGAGAAAUAGCCUUGUAAAAUAUCGGGACUGUGCAGAGUGGCGUUAAAUGGUGUUGAUAUAUUAUUUCAUUUAAUUUUCCCAUUCCCAGAGGGACAUUGUAUGAUAAUCCUGAAUUUCCAAAUGAGAAGAUUGGGGUAAAGAGAGAUUGGUUUGCUUAAGCAGGAAUGCUUAUAGUCAGGGCUUUUUUAUUUCCAGGCUUCCAUUGCCUCUCACACUUCGUAGCCUGUCAAAGUCAAGUUAGUGCAUUAACCUCAGUGACAUAGAACUGAGAAACAAGGUCACCUAUCUGAAUCUUACCUACUUGUGUGUGGUUUGUCCUCCAUUCAUUGUAAUGCUAUGGUAAAGUACUCCUUGAAAUAUUUGCAAUCAGAGACAGAUCGGAUGUGUUAUGACUAGGUUCCAACUAUUAUAGAUCAUCACCAUUUUCCAAGUAUAAAAUCAGAAGGUUACACAUAUUAAGAAAUGCUGAAGGAACAAAGUAUGUUUGGCUUCCUGCACGAUAAACAUUUGUGAAUUUUUACAACAAACAAAAAGCCUAAUUUUUCUUCCAGUAAAGAAAAAGAAAUUUUUUUUUUUUUUUUUUUUUUUUUUUUUUAGACAGAGUUGCCCAGGCUGGAGUGUAAUGGUAUGAUCUCGGUUCACUACAACCUCUGCCUCCAAGGUUUGAGGAAUUCUCCUGCCUCAGCCUCCUGAGUAGCUGGGCUUACAGGUGUACACCACCAUGCCUGGCUAGUUUUUUUGUAUUUUCAGUAGAGAUGGGGUUUCACCAUGUUGGCCAGGCUGGUCUCGAAUUCCUGGCCUCAAGUGAUCCACCUGCCUCAGCCUCCCAAAGUGCUGGAAUUAUGGGCAUAAGCCACUGCACCCUGCCCCAAUAAAGAAAAUUUUUUCCUUUUGAAUUAAAACUACUUUAAUCAAGGUUGAUGGAUACAAAAUCAACAUAUAAAAUCAAUGUAUUUUAUGCCAGCAAUAUACAGUCACAAAAUAUAAUUAUUAGAAACUUCUCAUUUCUAAUUAUAAUGGAAAUUUACAUAUAAGAAUAUAACAAAAAACAUGUACAACCUUUAUGGAAAAAAUUAUACUUCAUUAAAAGAUAUUAAUGAUGACCUAAGUAAAUGGAGAGAGAUAACCCAUGAUAAUGGAUAGAAGAGUCAAUACCAGAAAAAAGAGUGAAUUUUCCCUAACUUAAUCUAAAAAUUCAACCCCUUCCAGUUGAAAGCAUAAUAGGCAGUUUCAGUAGAAUCAGUGGGGGUGUGGGCUCCUAGGUUUCUGGUCAGCAGCGGAAAUGUGGUUUCAGCUCGAGCAGUGGAAGCAGAAAGUGCAGGCUUGUGGGCUCCCAACCCAGCCAUGGUAGCGGCUUUCUGAUCCCUAGGUAACUUCUGCAUUUUGUUCCACCAGUCUUUCCUACACUUUUAUAACUAACUGUGCAUGAAAUUCCUCUCUGUUUGAAUUAUCUCCAGUGGUUUCUGUUUUCCUGACUAGACAUUGACUGAUACAGUCAUACAUAUGUAGAUGUCAUGAUCUGAAAAUUCGUAUGUUGAAGCCCUACCCACCAUCAAUGUGAUGAUAUUGGAAGAUGGGUCUUUUGGAGGUAAUUAGAGUUAGAUGAGGUCCUAAGGGUGGGGCCCUUGUAUGGGAUUAGUGCCCUUAUGAUGAGAGACACACCAGAGAGCUUGCUGUCUCUCCACAUCUGUGCAUACAAAGAAAUGGUCCUGUGAGCACACAGUGAGAUGGCAGCCACCUACAAGUCAAGAGAGAAAGCCCUGGAAUAAAACCUACCUUGCUGUCACAUUAAUGUUGGACUUCCUAGCCUCAAGAGCUGUAAGAAAUACAUUUCUGUUGUUUAAGCUGACCAGAUUGUGGUAUUUUUUGAAUAGCAGCUCAAGCUGACAAAGACAGUGGGCAAUAAAAAUGUAAAGAAAUGCCUCAAGAUUCAUAUGUUGAAAUCUCAAUCCUCAGAAUGCAACCAUAUAUGGAGAUGAGAUCUUCAAAUGGUGAUUAAGUUAAAAUGAGGUCAUUGGAGUGAAGCCCUAGUCCAAUAUGACUGAUGGCCUUAAAAGAAGAAGGAAAGAUACCAGCCAGGGGUGUGUAUACACAAAUAGAUGACCAUGUUAAAAGACAGCAGGAGGGCAACCAGCUGUUAGCCUGAGAAGUGUCAGAGGAAACCAACCAUGCUGGCACCAUGAUCUGGAGCUUCCAGCCUUCAGAACUGUGAAGAAAUAAUUUCUCUUGUUUAAGCCACUCAGUCUGUGGUAUUUUGCUAUGAUCACCUUAGCAAACUAACAGAAUAUAAAAGUAAAGUCAAGAAAGUGUUGCCAGGCGUGGUGUCUCCCACCUGUGUAAUCCCAGCACUUCAAGAGGCCAAGACUGGUGGAUUGCAUGAUCUCAGGAGUUUGAGACUAGCCUGAGCAACAUGGUGAAAUCCUGUCAAAAAAUACAAAUCCUACAAAAAAUACAAAAAUUAGCUGGACAUGAUGGCAGGUGCCUGCAGUCCUAGCUAUUCGGGAGGUUGAGGUGGGAGGAUCGCUUGAGCCCAGGAGGCGGAAGUUGCAGUGAGCCCACUGCAUUCCAGCCUGGGGGAUAGAGCUAGACCUUGUCUCAAAAAAGGAAAGAAAGAAAGUAUCAAAUGUUAACUAAGAGGAAAAAUUUUAAUGGCAGUAGAAAAAUGGGCUGAGGGAAAAGAAAAAAGAGACAAAAUAAGAAAUAAGAUAAAGGCUCAAUAAAUGUCUUCCUCCUUUUUCUCCAUAAAAUCCUAUAUAUGUUAUUUUCUUUUAUAAAGGAAGAAAAGUUUUUGGCUUUAUUUUUCCUUUGUUAAUGGAAAGACCAAGUGAAGAACUAAGCAAUUACCCAAGGAACUAAACUCAUAUAAAAAAUCAAUAAUUCAGGUUAAAUCCCUCCUUUUUUUCCCCCUUGGAAAUGCUUUUCAAACUCACAACAUCUAUAUAACUGCCUUCUUUUACUUUCCUCUGCAGAUAAUGCUAAUGUUUCACCAAUUCAAAUGCAGGAUAUAAGACAUACCUAACAGCAAAAUCUCAAGAGCAACAACAAUAAAAAAUGAAAUUAUGAUGAAACCACAGUAAGGAAAAACCCAAAACCUAUGGGAAACUGACUGUAAAUCUGAAAUGCAUUCUUCCACAGAUAAGAUGAUUAC